rnacentral:rRNA from 1 species
AUUGAACGCUGGCGGCGUGCUUAACACAUGCAAGUCGAGCGAACGGCGGACGGGUGAGUAAUGUCUUGACACCUGCCUGAUGGAGGGGGAUAACUACUUGAAACGGUAGCUAAUACCGCAUACCAUCCGAUGUGCCCAGAUUGGAUUAGCUAGUAGGUGGGGUAAUGGCUCACCUAGGCGACGAUCCCUAGCUGGCCUGAGAGGAUGACCGGCCAAACUGGAACUGAGACACGGCCCAGACUCCUACGGGAGGCAGCAGUAGGGAAUAUUCCACAAUGGACGCAAGCCUGACGGAGCAACGCCGCGUGUGUGAAGAAGGUCUUCGGAUUGUAAAGCACUGUCAGUGAGGAGGCGGUACCCGAACAAGAAGCACCGGCUAACUACGUGCCAGCAGCCGCGGUAAUAC